CCACUUUCCUGGCAACUGUAAAGCUCCGCGAAGGCGGCUGGAGAGAGGCGCGUGGGAGCUGCGACCCCGGGGCUCGCAGAGGGCAAGGAGGCCAAGGCGGGCUGGACUGUACCUGCCGCCCGCGGCCCCCAGCGCUCCCAGGGAGGAUUCGUUGGCCUUAUUGCCCUAUUACGCUGGCCGAAUUCUGUGCUCUCCGUUUCCAAGUUAUUCUCAGGCCCGCAGAAGACAUAAGGCUUUCAGUGCUUCUGCACACCGUCUCCUGAAUUGAAGUGUGGGCGCAGCCAUUUCCCACUAGGAAUUUUGGUCUGACGGGUCAGGUGCAAGACCUUUGCGUGCAACACCCGAUGAGCAAGUGAAAUUAGACUAAGCGCAAAGGAAAAGUGACAUUAGAAGAAACUGCCUCACUCCAGAGUUCUUGGAAUGGAAUUCCCCAUGCUGUUCAUAUUGAUCUAUGAUUCCUUUGGCCAUCAAAUCUUCCCUUCCCUGGGUUCUUUAUUCUGCAUGACCACAGCUCUCUCCAUGACUUCUGGAGUUGGAGGUUGGUCCAUGCUGUGUUCUACAGAGUGACUGGGGUGGCAACCAGAAGGAGGUUGAACCAUGUCAUCUCAUGCUACUUCUCUGGACUGUAUCCUGCUAGUUUGGCGAAGUUAUGCUGUAACUUGUUUUAAGCACUGUUUCAAAAUCUUUCCUUUUUAUUUCCACAAAUAUUUUUUGGCAACUAUCAUGUGCCAGGCUUCGUUGUAAAGUUUUGCUUUGUGUCUAGAACUCUGCUAGAGUGUUCUGGUGCAGUAAUGAACCAGUAUGCCUAAUCUUAGUGAGUACUGGUGAAGGCAGAGAAUCAAGGAAACUUUUACAAAGUGAUAUGGUAAGUGCUCUAUUUGGGAAGGACAGGAUGCCUUGAGAGCAGGUAGAAGGCACACAGAAUGUGAUCUUGGAAAUUGAGGAAGGCUUCCUGGAGGAGGUGACAUGUAAGUAAGUAUUUCAAGGUUGAAAUAUUUCCGGAGUUAGUUAGAUGAAGAGGAGGAGAUAGAGUGCUCUAGGAGGAGAAAGAAUAUGCAAAGGCCUAGAAGAGUGAGAGCAAGGAAUGAGCUGAAACAAGUUCUGUGCACCUAGAGAGCAGAGUGCACAUUGGGAGGUGGCAAAGGCUAAUGUUGGAGAAGGAAGCAGGGGCCUAAUGAUGAAGGGAAUUGUAGGCCAUGUAAGGGCACUAUUUUAGCUUGGGGUACCCCCAAAACAACAACUGAGGUAAGGGUUCGGGUGGAAGUAGUUUGUUUAGAAGGUGGUCCUAGGAAGCAUGGUGAAGGAAUGGGAAAGUAAGAAAGCCUGAAAAGGCUGUAUUAACCAACAGGGCACUACUCUGGGCAGCUGAAGCUCAGUGCCACUGGAGACCCCUGAAAGAUCAUGUAGGACAUGCCUCUUAGCUGUCGCAUUGACGUGAGGAAGGAGACACAUUUAUCCAGCACUCUUGUCCCUCGUGGGUUGGAGAUUGCUCCUGGGGACCUGCCCUAGCUCCUUAGAGAAUGCCCUUGGGCAGGCUGAGAGACACAAAGCCAUUGCCUGUGUGGGAGCAGUCUGUAAAUGAUAUCCAGGGUGGGCCAACAGGUUGGGAGCAAGGCACUCACAGCAUCUCUUAAGUGUUUAAACUUUGCCUUAAGAGCAAAUGGAAUGUCUUACAGAGUUUUCAGGAAUGCAUUUUAGAAAGUUCACUUUGGCUGAGUGGAGAGGGUUGGUUAGAGUGGGGUAAAACUGAAGUAGACAGAUGAGUUAAGAGUUCUUUUGGGAGUUCCUGCUGUGGCUCAGCAGGUUACGAACCCGACUGGCAUCCAUGAGGACUCAAGUUCAAUCCCUGGCCUCGAUCAGUGGAUUGAGGAUCCAGCAUUGCCGUGAGCUGUGGUGUAGGUCACAGAUGUGGUUCAGAUCCCAUGUUGCUGUGGCUGUGGUGUAGGCUGGCAGCUGCAGUUCUGAUUCUAUCCCUAGCCUGGGAACUUCCAUAUGCUGCAGGUGUGGCUAUAAAAAAAAAAAAAUCAAUAGUUCUUUUAAUAAUAUUUCCUUUCUGCUUCAAUAAGCCUGAGUGAAUUUUGUUGUUUGAAAUCAAGAGCCACCAAAAGGUGAGCUUUUUUGUUUGUGGAGUGAGCUAGGCUGGAGAAAAUGAUGAGUAUAGUUUUUUUUAAUUUUUAUUUUAAAUUAGACUUUAUUUUUUCCCCCCUUUUUUAGGGCUGUACUUGCGGCAUGUGAAAGU